rnacentral:rRNA from 1 species
UACGUAGGGGGCAAGCGUUGUCCGGAUUCAUUGGGCGUAAAGAGCGUGUAGGCGGCCAGGUAGGUCGGUUGUGAAAACUGGAGGCUCAACCUCGGGCCUGCAGUGGGUACGGGCAGACUGGAGUGCGGUAGGGGAGAAUGGAAUUCCUGGUGUAGCGGUGGAAUGCGCAGAUAUCAGGAGGAACACCGAUGGCGAAGGCAGUUCUCUGGGCCGUAACUGACGCUGAGGAGCGAAAGCGUGGGGAGCGAACAGG